rnacentral:lncRNA from 1 species
GUGGCGGCAGCGGACCGUGGAGGCCGGGUGCAGCCCCGUCGGCUGCGCGCUCUCUGCAGAAAAGGAUUUUCUACGCUCCCCGCCCAUCACUUGGAUCUCGUCUGGGGAGGGGCGGAUUUUUUUUCUGGAAGUACCCUUCUUCUCCACGGUGGAGGAUUUAAGGCUGGGCUCCAAUCGAGGCGGAGGCUGCAGGGCCCGCGGGGCGCCCCCCGCCCGGCGCACGCCUGCCCGGAGCCCGGGAAGGCGCAGCCCUGGGUGGGGGGGCCCGUGCACCCCCGGAGGCGGCAGCGGCGAUAAACCUGCCAGUAAUUUCAGCAAAUGAAACGUGGAACACGUCAAGGCCAGAGGAUGGAAAAGGCUCCAGUUUUGAUAAAAGGAGGCCUGCUUGGCUUGGAAUCCUCUCUCCUGCUGGUUGGGAGAUGCAAAGAUGUUUCCAGAGAGGGGCUGAUGAAUUGAGGGGAAAGAAAUGAGCCCAGUAUGAGUCCCCUUUCAGGGCUGAGCGUGUAUAAAACCAAACAACUUGGAACCGCUCCAAGAGAGGGGAUUAAAGCAACAUGUUAUUCUGAGUGAUUGCUUAAUUUAUUGAGCUGCGGCUGGAUCUGUAAUGAAAUACAGCCCUUGUAACUGAUAACCUCCUGCUGCCAUUGAACUUCUACAAUUAAGGAAUAUUUUCUGAGUUUCUCUGGAACGGCUCUGAAUUUUUAGCCUCUGUGGUAGGGUGCUUCUGAACAUUUGUUUUCCAGGCAAUUUUUUUUGAGUAUUAGGCUGAUGUUAAUAAAUAAGCAGCAUUUUAUUGAGUGUUUUGUGGGAACCAGGAACUUUAUAUACAUUGUUUCUAAUCCUGACACUAAUCCUGUCAAUAUCCAGUGAAAUAACCCCUAUUAUUCCCUAUUUUACAGAUGUGAAGCCACGAGACGUUAGGUCAUUUUCUAGAGUGGUGCUGUCCAAGACAGUAGCUGUGAUGGCUCCUUGUGGCUAUUGAUGUGUAAAUUAGUUAAAAUUAAAUAAAUUUUAACAUUUACACCCUAGGUUGCACUAACAAUGAGUUCAAGUGCCCAGCAGCCCCGUGUACUGUGGCUGAUGGCUACCACAUUGGACAGUGCAGAUAUAGACCAUUUGAAGGUUGCACAAGUGCUAUUGGUCAGCACUGACUUAGAUUUCCUUUUUUUUUUUUUUUUUGAGAUGGAGUCUCGCUCUAUUGUCCAGGUUGGAGUGCAGUGGUGCAAUCUCGGCUCACUGCAACCUCCGCCUCCUGGGUUCAAGUGAUUCUCCUGCCCCAGCCUCCUGAGUAGCUGGGACUACAGGUGCAUGCCACCACGCCCAGCUAAUUUUUGUAUUUUUAAUAGAGAUGGGGUUUCACUGGCCAGGCUGGUCUCGAACUCCUGACCUCAGGGGAUCCACCUGCCUCGGCUUCCCAAAGUGCUGGAAGCUGUGAGCUUUUUCCCAAAGUGCUAGAAGCUCUGAGCCGCCACGCCUGGCCCCUGCAAUUCUUUAAAAAAAAUGAUGGUAGGGUCCCAGGCCCAGAUAAUCUGACUUCACUGUGAUUAAGCCGGGUGGGGACAGGCAUCAGAGGUUUUUCUACUUCCCCAUGUGAUGCCACUGUGCAGCCAGCACGUAGAGCAGCUAGGCGUGAGGACCCACACAGAGGAUGCUGGAAGCAGCUGGUUCAUCUGCCAGGAGAAUGCAGUAUCUUGUGACCAAGAAGUGGGCUUCUCCCAGGGCCACUUCUAAACCACCUCAUCAGAGAGCUCAGGUUCAUAUCCGAGGGAAGAAACUGAAGUGCUUUCUCACACGCUUCCAGCUUGAUGAGAAUCACAGUAGGGAGCUUUGCUUUUCCAAACAGGCUUUGUCACAUGAUCAUGGAAGAAAGGAGAUGCCCACGUAAGAUCACAGAGACAAGGUGAAAAACCCGUAGCCCCGAAUUGGAAUUGGAAGCAUCAGUAUGAAUUCAUGCUAUAUUUUUGUCUUACAAAGUAAAGCAGGUGUUUGCUAGCUCUGUCAACCAUAAAGUUUAGAAAUAAUGAGCCAUCCAAUAGCAGUGAACACCCCAGCACCCAGGUUAUGGUGUCUAAACGCCACUUCCGACUAGAAAUGAGGGCAUGAAGAAAUAACCAAUUCCAGGUCUGAGGCAAGAAAAAAAAUUCAAGAUGAGCCUGGAACAUCUGGUCAUUCCUUGCUUCCUUGAUAGCAAGGAAGGUGAGGGUCACAUUGAAAAGGAUGCAGGAGACAACAUGGAGUGGCUCCCAAUGGGGAGAGUUUGAGCAUCAUUAACAAUAAUGGGCCGAGCGCGGUGGCUCACGCCUGUAAUCCCAGCACUUUGGGAGGCCGAGGUGGGUGGAUCACAAGGUCAGGAGAUGGAGACCAUCCUGGCUAACACAGUGAAACCCCGUCUCUACUAAAAAUACAAAAAAUUAGCCGGGUGUGGUGGUGGGGUACCUGUAGUCCCAGCUACUCGGGAGGCCGAGGCAGGAGAAUGGCGUGAACCCAGGAGGCGGAGCUUGCAGUAAGCCGAGAUCAGGCCACUGCAUUCCAGCCUGGGCAACAGAUCGAGACUCUGUCUCAGAAAAAUAAAUAAUAAUAAUAAUAAUAAUAAUAAUAAUAAUAAUGACUAUAGGCCAGGUGCGGUGGCUCACACCUGUAAUCCCAGCACUUUGGGAGGCCAAGGUGGGCAGAUCACUUGAGGUCAGGAGUUAGAGACCAGCCUGGCCAACAUGGUGAAACCCCAUCUCUACCAAAAAUAUAAAAAAUUAGCCGGGUGUGGUGGCAUACACAUGUAAUCCCAGCUACUUGGGAGGCUGAGGCAGAAGAAUCGCUUGAACCCAGGAGGCGGAAGUUGCAGUGAGCCAAGAUUGUGCCACUACACUCCAGCCUAGGUGACAGAGCAAGACGCCCAUCUCAAAAAAAAAAAAAAAAAAGAAUGACUUUAAUGGAUUGAAACAUGUCAUAUAUGUCCAAAUCUAUGAGUUGACAAUACUUAAAAAAAAAAAAAAAAAGAAAAAUUCAUUUAUCACCAUGGGAGGAUAUUGGAAAACCCAACUCAUUUUGAAAACUGUCAAAGAAAGGGAAAGAAGCAUUUAUCCUUUUUGGUACAAACCAUACUUUUUGGUAGCCAAAUAGUUGAUAAAUUGAUACCUUUUAUAGACAUAUGUCCACUACCAAAGACAGAAUCAUAGAAUUAGUAUGCCACCAUGUUGUAAUAUCUAAUGAAAUAAUGGGCCAGGUGUAGUGGCUCAUCCCUGUAAUCCCAACACUUUCGGAGGCCGAGAUGGGAAGAUUGUUUGAGGCCAGAAGUUCAAGACCACCCUGGGCAACACAGACCUGUCUAUGCAACAAGAUCCUGUCUCUACAAAAAAAAAAGAAAAAAAAAAAAUUAGCCAGGUUUGGGCAUGUGCCUGUAGUCCCAGCUGUUUGGAAGGCUCAGGUGGGAGGAUCCCUUGAGCCCAGGAGGUCAAGGCUGCAGUCAGCUAUGAUUGCACCACUGCACUCUAACCUAUGUGACAGAGCAAGACCCCUCAAAAAAAAAAAAAAAAAAGAAGAAGAAAUUGUGGAUCUAGACAAUGAUCAUCAACAACAGCUGCUAACAUUGCAAAGAGGAACAACCAGAUAGUGUGUGCCUUUGAAUGGAAGUACAAAACCACCAAUAGGAAGUACUCAUACAAAAAAAAAAAAAUCAAACAUCAAUCUAAGUUAUCUCCUAGGCCUAACUACCAAUUUCUAAGAAAUAUAGCGGGAAGAGGAGCACAUGACACUUCUAUGGAGAUGCUAUAACCAAAAUUCAGACCACAGGAAACUACAGAACAAACAAGCCAGUUUCUUCAACAAAUAAAUUGCAAAGGAAGAAAAAGACAAGGGAAGAGAACCUACAGGUUAGGAGAGAUACAAAAGCAAUCCCAACCGAUGGCAACAUUCGAACUUUAUUUGGAUCCUGAUUUUAACUAGCUAAAGAAACCCUUUAGCUGGGCGCGGUGGCUCACACCUGUAAUCCCAGCACUUUGGGAGGCCAAGCCGGGUGGAUCACAAGGUCAGGAGUUCAAGACCAGCCUGGCCAAGAUGGUGAAACCCCGUCUCUACUAAAAAUACAAAAAUUAGCCAGGUGCAGUGGCGUGCACCUGUAAUCUCAGCUAUUCAGGAGGCUGAGGCAGGAGAAUCUCUGAAACCCAGGAGUCAGAGGUUGCAGCGAGCUGAUAUCAUGCCACCGCACUCUAGCCUGGGCAACAGAGCAAGACUCCGUCUCAAAAAAAAAAAAAAGAAACGCUUUAUGAGAUAACCAGAGAAAUCUGAAUACUAACUGGGUAUUUGCUGAUAGUAAAAGCAUUACUGUUAUUAAAUAGUUUUAGGAGGAGUGAAGGUGGCCAAAAAAAAUUUUUUGGAGUUAUACAUUGAAAUGUUUGUAAAAGAAAUGACUGACGUCUGAAAUUUGCUUCAGAGUAAUCUGGGAUGAGGGAAGGGGAAGAGGGCGUGGAUGGAAUAAGGUUGGCUGAGACUUGACUGCUGAAGCCAGGCUUAUUGUACCACACGCUCCGUUCCUAUGUGUGCUUGAAGCUUUUCACAAUAAAAAGAAAAAAGAGGUAAAGACCAGCCUUUUCCUUCCUUUCUCUCAAUGCUUAGUGUGUCCACCCACUGCUGGCAUCUCUGGGACAAGCCUGGGUAGCAGGCUUGAGAUAGAUCUUCACGCAUCCCACCCCCGUCUCCAUGGCAACCAGUGGGGAGGGAAAGCUGCAUCCACAAAGUUCUGGUCCCCACAGGGGUGAGGCCAGGCCACCAGUGUCAUGCCAGGCCCUGUCUUGCUGCUCCCUUGGGAGAAUUCCCACCAGAACUGCCUCCCUGCACCCAUUCCCCAUCCCUCUGGCCCUCCCUGUGUGCCCCCUGAAGAAGUAGGGGCCAGUCAGUGGAGAGAACAGGACUCUCAAUCAGAUCCAGGUUCAAAUUCUGACUUCACCACUUAAUGGCAGGAUCGGAAACCUCCCUGAGCCUCAUUUUUUUUUCAUCUAUAAAAUGGGCAUACAGUUUUAUUUAAUGUUUAAAAAAGGCAGGGGGCACGACUGGGCAUGGCUCAUGCCUGUAAUGUCAGCACUUUGGGAGCCUGAGGCAGAAAGAUCACUUGAGCCCAGGAGUUUUAGAACAGCCUGGGCAACAUAGUGAGACCUCAUCUCUACAAAAAUUUUAAAAAAUAGGCCGGGCACGGUGGCUCAUGCCUGUAACCCCAGCACUUUAGGAGGCUGAGGUGGGCAGACUGCUUAAGCUCAGGAGUUCAAAACCAGCCUGGGCAACAUGGCAAAACCUCGUCUCUACUAAAAACACAAAAACUAGCAGGGCAUGGGGGGACACGCCUGUAGUCCCAAGUUACUCGGGAGACUAAGGUGGGAGGAUCACCUGAACCCUGGAGGUCGAGGCUGCAGUGAGCUGUGAUUGCACCACAGCACUCCAGCCUGGAGGACAGAACGAGACCCUGUCUCAAAAUAAUAAUAAAAUAUAUAAAGCUGGUAUAAUGUGACCUUUGUUGAGUUAGUUGCUCAACACAUCUUUACUAUGAAUGGACAGUGACAAAAAAGGAUCUAGUCUCCAACUCAUGGAACUCUACUCAGGGGUGAGAGGCAAUCUCCAUAGGCCACUGCACCUGGCCUCAUGUUCCACUUUUUAAAAAAAUUAGCAGUCACAACUCCCAGUCAUACUUUUCAUUAACCAGAACAUCUAUACUUUUCAACUAUGAGUAUCUAGUUAUGGCAAUCACACAGGAUCAUUUCAUUUAAUUUAGCGCUCACAUUUCUUAUUUAUUUAAUGUAUUUAAUUUAUUGAGAUGGAGUCUCGCUCUGUUGCCCAGGCUUGAGUGCAGUGGCAUGAUCUCGACUCACUGCAACGUUUGCCUCCCGGGUUCAAGUGAUUCUCCUGCCUCAGCCUCCUGAGUAGCUGGGAUUAAAGACACGCACCACCAUGCCCAGCUAACUUUUGUAUUUUUAGUAGAGAUGGGGUUUUACCAUGUCGGCCAGGCUGGUCUUGAACUCCUGGCCUCAAGUGAUCCACCCGCCUUCACCUCCCAAACUGCUGGGUUACAGGCGUGAGCCACUGUGCCUGGCCUAGUGCUCACAUUUCUAUGAGCUAAGUCACAUUAUUCCCAUCCUGUGGAGGGAGAAGCUUAGGCACAGAGAGGUGAGAUACCUUGCCAAAGGCCACACUACUGGUGUGGCCUUCUGUGGCCCUGUCUUCUGUGCUCAGCCCUCUGUGCAUUGAUGAAGCUUUGAAAUGCCACAGCAGGGCCAGGAAAUCAGUGCUGCCAGAAGACUGAAAAGCUCUCCAGAUCAUUUUCCAAAUGAAGAAACAGUGGCCCAGAGAAGCCAAGUAACUUGACUGGGGCCACAUAGCAAAUGGGUAGCUGAGCCUGUGUUCACACUGCUUGGGGAGAUGGUGCAGGGAAGCCCUAUUCAGUGAGGGAAGCCAACUCUUACUGCCCCCAUGUAAUCCUGUCCUAAAGCAGGGUGGCCAGCCAUCCCAGCGUGCCUAGGACUAGGAGGUUUUUGGGACUGGAGACAUUAGGUGCUAAAACCAGGAAAGCUCUGGGCCAACUGGGAUGAGCUGGGCAUUCCAUCCCAUAGACAGUAAGGUGUCUAAAUGGUUAUUUCCAGGAAAUGAGGCUUUGGGAUGGAGCUGGCUGGCAAGAACCAUCAAGACCCCGUUGAAAGACUAGGGUUUUAUGUCUAUGAUACCCUGGAGAUUCCACCUAUGUGUCACCUCAGUGGACUCCGCGGGGGCCCACGGCCUGGCAUCCUAUUCUGCCCCCAAACAGCUAAAGUGCUCUAAAUCCUAAACCUAAUUGCCCCAUGUCCCAGUAUGCAAACCUAAAUGGUUUCUCAUUUUCCCCCCAUUGCCUUAGGACCAACCAUAAACUCUGCUGGCCCAGGAGACCCUUGGUGGGCUUGCCUCUGUCCACCUGGUGCUGCCUCUCUCUGCAACCCACCCCACCUCACCCCUACAAAAUUCCAAGCAAGGACAGGAUAACCAAAGACUUCUCACUUCACCCCCCUUCACCCACGUAACCUUUAUCUUAGCAUCCUACCCUUUUCUUCCAUGACAUCAGUGCAAUUGUAAUUACACAGCUAUUUGUAUAAUUAGCUGAUUAUUAAUAUCUAGCCUCCCCCACCCCUGGCUAGACUGUCAGCCCACAGGGGCGGGGGUGGGUGUGUGAUGUGCACUGUUUUACAGCCUGACUCAGUGGAGACACAUGAAUGACACUCAAAAGUCACUGAAUGGGCCAGACAUGUGGCUCACACCUGUAAUCCCAGCACUUUGGGAGGCUGAGGUGGGCAGAAUGCCUAAGGUCAUGAGUUCGAGACCAUCCUGACCAACAUGGCAAAACACCAUCUCUACUAAAAGUUACAACAAUUAGCUGGGUGUGGUUACAUGCGCCUGUAUAGUCCCAGCUACUCGGGAGGCUGAGGCAGGAGAAUUGCUUGGGCCUGGGAGGUGGAGGUUGCAGUGAGCCAAGAUCACAUCACUGCACUCCAGCCUGGGAGACACAGCGAGACUCCAUCUCAAAAAAAAUAAUAAUAAAAUGGCUGGGCACGGUGAUCCCAGCACUUUGGGAGGCCAAGGCAGUUGGAUCACUUGAGGUCAUGAGUUCAAGACCAGCCUGGCCAACAUGGUGAAACCCCAUCUCCACUAAAAAUACAAAAAAUUAGCUGAGUGUGGUAGUCCAUGCCUGUAGUCCCAGCUACUCGGGAGGCUGAGGCACAAGAAUUGCUUGAACCCGGGAGACAGAGGUUGCAGUGAGCCGAGAUCAUGCCACUACACUCCAGCUUGGGUGACAGAGCGAGACUCUGUCUAAAAAAAAAGGAAAAAAAAAAAAAGUCAUUGAAUGGCCCCACCAAAGACUGCUAUCACCUCCAACUGGGCCUCCAUCUGAAAUCACAGAAACCCUCCAUAGCCACCAGGGUCUCCACUUCCCAGGCUGCUAUCCAUGAUGUCACAGGAUGGAAAAUGAUCCCAGAAAAAGACUGGCAAAGGGAGAAGCUCCUGGAGGAGGACGUGGAAGGCAGGAUUGGUGUGGUUUUUAAUUACUGUACCUGUUCUGACCACAUUUUCUUAGCUCUGCUCACAUCCCUACUUCAAUAGUAGCUUAGGACAACAAAACAAAAACAUCAGCCCCAGAGUUUGAGACAAGAUAUCUCACUGGUUCCCUCUUUGCCGGUAAUUAACGCUGAAAAGUUUCAAUACUUAUCUUGGCAGCAAAGGUAAUAAUACAAACGCACAGCCAGAUUAUUUGGCUGCUAAUUCUCUUCUUGAUGUUUUCCUUCCCCUUUCCUUAAAUUAAUUCCAGAGUUCUUCCAGAUUUCUCGUUGCUAAGCUAUAAAGUUCCAGGUUUCCGCAGCAUGGCUGCUAAUUGGCAGGGAGUUACCAGGCAGCUCCAAUCAGAACCAGGUUGUUGAAAGGAGCGUCCACACUACAGCUCGCUCAGAGGUUUUGGAAUUUUCUCGCUGACAUUAUGAACCGCAAAGGUCUUUGCCUAACUCUGCAGAACCUGUUUUCUUGAUUUGGCUGUUGGGCGACACCAGACGCCUUGGACUUUCCCUAGGAGGCGUGGGGAGUCCCUGGGUCUCCUGGUUAGGGUCAGUGACAGGGAUGCUCAGAGCACAUUCAUGGCUCACCACAGACAAUGUGACCCCCAACACUGCUGCAGAAAGGGUGCCGCAAGCCCCCCAGGACUGACCUCUCACAUCCAUCUCCCAAGCAUGUUGACAGACUAUCUGGAGGAGGCUGAUGAUACCUCUGAACUUAGGAUUUUAGGGGUGAAGGUCAUAUUUGUAAAGGACUUUAAAACACCCAAAUGGAGGGCCAUUUGGUGAUCUACCUCCAGAAUCAUAAUGAAAACCAUCACCAUGAACUGAGUUUCUACUGUACACCACAAACCAUAUUCUCAUCUGUUCCCAUCCUAAAACUCCCACUGGACCAGCUGGGAACCUGACAGCUGCUGCACUGUUGGUUCCACUUGCCUGCUGCCGUCUUCUAGGAGCAGAAAGUCAUGUGACCCGGGCCUGGCUACUGUGAUUGGCUCUGUGAUGAGCACAUGACAAAGCUGGGCCAAUCAGAAUCUUCCCUGAGACUUUUUUUGCCAGAUAGGAAAAGACUCCCCAACCCUACCGUUGCUAAGCUGGUGCCCAUUGGGAACACAUAUGGAAGGUGCCUGAGAAAUAUAAGAAGCCCCCAAAGAUAUGCAGUCCCUAUGACAAUGCUUGAGCCUUAGAUGCACCUGUAGAGGAAGCCAGAUCUACUUCCUGGAUUUGACAGUUACAGGAAUAGUAAAUUCUUUUACUGCUUAAGCCAGUUUACCUUUGUGUCUGUUGCUUCUUGCUGAAGAGUGCUAAGUAAUGGGGUUACAUAGCUUCUCUGCAUGGUGCCUUGGCUCUAAGGCAGGCAGUUUGCUUAUAUUCCUGCAUAGGGUCUUCACAAUUACCUGGUGAGGCACUCCAUUUUGCACCUGGGGAAACUGAGGCUCAGAAGGGUAAGGGAGGCUUGCCCAGGUAACAUGGUCACUGUGUUCUCAGGAGUUCAAACCUG